GGAGAGUAAGGCUCACAUGGUAGAGCGCAUGCUUAGCAUGCAGGAGGUCCUGGGUUCAAUCCCCAGUACCUCCU
rnacentral:tRNA from 1 species